UAAGCGGAGGAAAAGAAACUAACAGGAUUCCCCUAGUAACUGCGAGUGAAGCGGGAAAAGCUCAAAUUUGGAAUCUGGUGGUCUUUGNNCAUCCGAGUUGUAAUUUAGAGAAGCGUCUUCCGCGCUGAACCGUGCACAAGUCUCCUGGAAUGGAGCGUCAUAGAGGGUGAGAAUCCCGUCUUUGGCAUGGAAUCCCAGGGCUUCUGUGAUGCGCUCUCGACGAGUCGAGUUGUUUGGGAAUGCAGCUCAAAAUGGGUGGUGAACUCCAUCUAAAGCUAAAUAUUGGCGAGAGACCGAUAGCGAACAAGUACCGUGAAGGAAAGAUGAAAAGCACUUUGGAAAGAGAGUGAAACAGUACGUGAAAUUGUUGAAAGGGAAACGCUUGAGGUCAGUCGCGUCGACCGAGACUCAGCCUUGCCUCGGCUUGGUGUACUUCUCGGCUUGACGGGUCAGCAUCGAUUUCAAUCCUCGGAUAAUGGCAAGGGAAAGGUAGCACCUUUUUAGGUGUGUUAUAGUCCUCUGUCGCAUGCGAGGGUCGGGAUCGAGGAACUCAGCACGCACCUCAGGGUGUCGGGGCCUUGGCCCACGUUUACGUGCUUAGGAUGCUGGCGUAAUGGCUUUAAACGACC
rnacentral:rRNA from 1 species